rnacentral:rRNA from 1 species
AUCUGUGGCCAAACCUUCCUGUCAAAGCCUGAUCUUGUCACAUCUCAGAGGCUGAACAGGGCCAGGCCUGGUUAAAACCUGGAUGAGAGGAAUGAGGAAUAUCAAGUGCCACAGUGG